CCUAACCUUAAUGGGCGAAAACCUUUCCCUUCUUCAUGCGACGCCGCCGACCCUCCUCCCUCCCUCUCGCACUCGCACGCGCAGGCGACGCUGUGCGUCGUGCCAUCGCCAACUCCUCGUCGGCCAACAACAGCCUCCACCGCCGGCCUCUCUUCUCUCUCGGAGCCAUGCCGAUCUCCCUCUUGCGAGACCUCACAGACCACAACCGUCGAUCCUCUUCCCUCCAUGUUGUGCCCCAACGGAUCCGGCAAGUAUUCUUUCUCCUAGUAGCUUGGUUUUGGGACAGAUUUGGAUGUGUGAACCAAACUUGAUGUAGUUCUCUUUCGGCAACAUAGUUUGAAAUUCUGGGCAGAUUUAUAGAUCGGAAAUUUGUCUUCGAUGUUGACUGGUUGUGGCAAACUGGUUUUGAAUUCUAGAUUAAUUUGGAAGACUAUGAAUUGAGUUUGAUGUUGGUUCUCUUGUGGCCUGUUGGAUUGAGAUUUCACAGUAGACUUAAAGGUUGAGAAUUGAUUUCGAAGUCAUCUUGUUUUCUUCAAGAUAGUAGUAACUUUGUAACAGAUUUGGUAGGAUGUGUAUCAUUUUCAAUAUUGUGAACACUCCUUCGUAUUGGUUUGAAAUUCUAGUACGGACUUGGAAGUAAGGGAAUUGGUGUAGAUUUAAUAGUUGUUUUUUUUGUUUUCUCUAGCUAUGCAUGAUUAGAUUGAAACAUCAUAAAAAUGUAGUUAGGUAACCAUCUGAUGAUGUCUCAUUUUCCGUAAAGGUUCAAUUAAUUAUUGUGCAUGUAUGUUGGCAAGUAUUACUUCUUCUUGUAGGUAAGGAUUUGGGAGUCGUUUAAGGGGUUGGGAAGCCUCUUUCGGUGGUGACCAAAGGAAGGGAUGGAAGGUUGGGAUUUGAUGGAGAUGAGGGUUAUUCUUCUUCUUGGUGAUUUUCGGCCGCCUAGAACAGAUUUAGGAUGUCAUUUCGGGAUGAGCACUCCGACGCGGGGAUUGUUUAGCUCGAGCUAUAUACUAAAGGCGGGUACUUCUUACUUUGUUUUC